GGAACACUUGGGAUGGAAAAAGUUUACCCGGACUGUAGUAAAAACUCCCGAGAAAGCAUGAAGUAACCGCUAUGGAGCCGGACAAUGCCCCGAACUCCAAACUCACAUCCACUGGAGUCGGGGGGAGAGCUCUCAUUCUUUGGAUGAUACUCAGUUGUACCUUCUCUCUGAGGCUUGCUCAGGCUCAAGAUGUGGAUAUUCUACAGCAGCUCGGGCUUUAUGGGAGGAGUCCAGG
rnacentral:lncRNA from 1 species